rnacentral:rRNA from 1 species
UACGGGGGGAGCAGGCGUUGUUCGGAUUUACUGGGCGUAAAGGGCGCGUAGGCGGCCUCUGCAAGUCGACUGUGAAAUCCCCGGGCUCAACCCGGGAACUGCGUCCGAUACUGGAAGGCUUGAAUCCGGGAGAGGGAUGUGGAAUUCCAGGUGUAGCGGUGAAAUGCGCAGAUAUCGGGAGGAACACCUGUGGCGAAGGCAGCUCGCUGGGACGUUACUGACGCUGAGACGCGAAAGCGUGGGGAGCAAACAGG